AUUGAACGCUGGCGGCAUGCCUUACACAUGCAAGUCGAACGGUAACGGGCCUUCGGGUGCCGACGAGUGGCGAACGGGUGAGUAAUGUAUCGGAACGUACCUUUCAGUGGGGGAUAACGUAGCGAAAGUUACGCUAAUACCGCAUAUUCUGUGAGCAGGAAAGCAGGGGAUCGCAAGACCUUGCGCUGAUUGAGCGGCCGAUAUCAGAUUAGCUAGUUGGUGAGGUAAAGGCUCACCAAGGCGACGAUCUGUAGCGGGUCUGAGAGGAUGAUCCGCCACACUGGAACUGAGACACGGUCCAGACUCCUACGGGAGGCAGCAGUGGGGAAUUUUGGACAAUGGGGGCAACCCUGAUCCAGCCAUGCCGCGUGAGUGAAGAAGGCCUCGGUUGUAAGACGCUUCGCGGAGAAUACGUA
rnacentral:rRNA from 1 species